rnacentral:rRNA from 1 species
UACGUAGGUGGCAAGCGUUGUCCGGAAUUACUGGGUGUAAAGGGAGCGCAGACGGCAGUGCAAGUCCGGAGUGAAAGCCCGGGGCCCAACCCCGGGACUGCUCUGGAAACUGUACGGCUGGAGUGCCGGAGAGGUAAGCGGAAUUCCUAGUGUAGCGGUGAAAUGCGUAGAUAUCAGGAGGAACACCGGUGGCGAAGGCGGCCUGCUGGACUGUAACUGACGUUGAGGCUCGAAAGCGUGGGGAGCAA